UACCAGCACCCCGAGUGGUCGGGACGAUUAUUGGGCCUAAAGCAUCCGUAGCCGGCCUUACAAGUCAUCCGUUAAAUCCAGCUGCUUAACAGAUGGGCUGCGGAGGAUACUAUAAGACUAGGAGGCAGGAGAGGCAAGCGGUACUCAGUGGGUAGGGGUAAAAUCCGUUGAUCCAUUGAAGACCACCAGUGGCGAAGGCGGCUUGCCAGAAUGCGCUCGACGGUGAGGGAUGAAAGCUGGGGGAGCAAACCGG
rnacentral:rRNA from 1 species